AGAGUUUGAUCAUGGCUCAGGAUGAACGCUGGCGGCGUGCCUAACACAUGCAAGUCGAACGGAGUUAAACGCUGAACGGAAGUCAGCUUGCUGAAAGAAGUUCUUGUUUAACUUAGUGGCGGACGGGUGAGUAAUGUGUGAGCAACCUGCCUUACAGAGGGGGAUAACACUCUGAAAACGAGUGCUAAUACCGCAUGAAGCGAGAAUAUCGCAUGAUAAUUUCGUUAAAGGAGCAAUCCGCG
rnacentral:rRNA from 1 species